AUUGAACGCUGGCGGCAUGCCUAACACAUGCAAGUCGAACGGCAGCACAGCAGUAGCAAUACUGUGGGUGGCGAGUGGCGGACGGGUGAGGAAUACGUCGGAAUCUGCCCAGUCUGGGGGAUAACUAGCCGAAAGGUUAGCUAAUACCGCAUACGACCGAGAGGUGAAAGCGGGGACCGCAAGGCCUCGCGCGAUUGGAUGAGCCGACGUCGGAUUAGCUAGUUGGCGGGUAAAGGCCCACCAAGGCGACGAUCCGUAGCUGGUCUGAGAGGAUGAUCAGCCACACUGGAACUGAGACACGGUCCAGACUCCUACGGGAGGCAGCAGUGGGGAAUAUUGGACAAUGGGCGCAAGCCUGAUCCAGCAAUGCCGCGUGUGUGAAGAAGGCCUUCGGGUUGUAAAGCACUUUUAUCAGGAACGAAAAGCGUUGGAUUAAUACUCUGACGUGCUGACGGUACCUGAGGAAUAAGCACCGGCUAACUUCGUG
rnacentral:rRNA from 1 species